rnacentral:lncRNA from 1 species
AAGUCCUUCCGGCACGUCGACUAGUCCUCCUGCCCAACAUCCAAUCUUCUGACAUGAUCCACUCCGGCCCAAUGUUUGAUUCUUCUUGUUUCAAUCGAAUUGUCUUUCUAUGAUCAAAGUUAGUCAUGCAUCACUUAAACGCUGAUUAGAUCAUAACUUCAUCAAUUGAUUUCAUCAUCAAAAUUCGAGAUUCAACACUUCCAC